rnacentral:rRNA from 1 species
UACGGAGGGGGCUAGCGUUGUUCGGAAUUACUGGGCGUAAAGCGCACGUAGGCGGCUUUGUAAGUUAGAGGCGAAAGCCCAGGGCUUAACCCUGGAAUUGCCUUUAAGACUGCAUCGCUAGAAUCGUGGAGAGGUGAGUGGAAUUCCGAGUGUAGAGGUGAAAUUCGUAGAUAUUCGGAAGAACACCAGUGGCGAAGGCGACUCACUGGACACGUAUUGACGCUGAGGUGCGAAAGCGUGGGGAGCAAACAGG